rnacentral:rRNA from 1 species
GAUGAACGCUGGCGGCGUGCCUAAUACAUGCAAGUCGAACGCACAGCGAAAGGUGCUUGCACCUUUCAAGUGAGUGGCGAACGGGUGAGUAACACGUGGACAACCUGCCUCAAGGCUGGGGAUAACAUUUGGAAACAGAUGCUAAUACCGAAUAAAACUCAGUGUCGCAUGACACAAAGUUAAAAGGCGCUUUGGCGUCACCUAGAGAUGGAUCCGCGGUGCAUUAGUUAGUUGGUGGGGUAAAGGCCUACCGAGACAAUGAUGCAUAGCCGAGUUGAGAGACUGAUCGGCCACAAUGGGACGGGGACACGGCCCAAACUCCUACGGGAGGCUGCAGUAGGGAAUCUUCCACAAUGGGCGAAAGCCUGAUGGAGCAACGCCGCGUGUGUGAUGAAGGCUUUCGGGUCGUAAAGCACUGUUGUAUGGGAAGAACAGCUAGAAUAGGGAAUGAUUUUAGUUUGACGGUACCAUACCAGAAAGGGACGGCUAAAUACGUGCCAGCAGCCGCCGUAA